GAGUUUGAUCGUGGCUCAGAUUGAACGCUGGCGGCAUGCCUUACACAUGCAAGUCGAACGGCAGCAUGAUCUAGCUUGCUAGAUUGAUGGCGAGUGGCGAACGGGUGAGUAAUACAUCGGAACGUGCCCUGUAGUGGGGAUAACUAGUCGAAAGAUUAGCUAAUACCGCAUACGACCUGAGGGUGAAAGUGGGGGACCGCAAGGCCUCAUGCUAUAGGAGCGGCCGAUGUCUGAUUAGCUAGUUGGUGGGUAAAGGCCCACCAAGGCGACGAUCAGUAGCUGGUCUGAGAGGACGAUCAGCCACACUGGGACUGAGACACGGCCCAGACUCCUACGGGAGGCAGCAGUGGGGAAUUUUGGACAAUGGGGGCAACCCUGAUCCAGCAACGCCGCGUGUGUG
rnacentral:rRNA from 1 species